rnacentral:rRNA from 1 species
UACAGGGGGGGCAAGCGUUGUUCGGAAUUACUGGGCGUAAAGGGUCUGUAGGUGGCCAACUAAGUCAGACGUGAAAUCCCUCAGCUUAACUGGGGAACUGCGUCUGAUACUGGAUGGCUCGAGUGUGGGAGAGGAAUGCGGAAUUCCAGGUGUAGCGGUGAAAUGCGUAGAUAUCGGGAGGAACAUCAGUGGCGAAGGCGGCCUUCUGGUCCAGUACUGACGCUGAGACGCGAAAGCUAGGGAGCGAACGGG